UAGACACAAAUGCGGGAUGGAGGCAGUGCGUGGUGGGGAGGAAAUGCAGAGACCUCGUGGAGGAAAUGAGAGGCAGCUCCUCUGACCCAGGAAGCCAGCAGAGGCUGUUUCCAUGGGGACAGAGCACCGCAGUGUGAGAGAGGAUUGGGCUGGGACUGAGAAGGGCGUUCCUGCUGUGGUGAGGCAGCCCUCAGGGUCUCUCCUGGCACACAGCUGCCAGCGUGAUGGGGGAUCCCUUCAGAAUAGCAGCAAAACCCACGAUACUGAGGAGUAACUCAAACCAAAC
rnacentral:lncRNA from 1 species